rnacentral:rRNA from 1 species
GAUGAACGCUGGCGGCGUGCCUAAUACAUGCAAGUAGAACGCUGAAGGAAGGAGCUUGCUCUUUCCGGAUGAGUUGCGAACGGGUGAGUAACGCGUAGGUAACCUGCCUGGUAGCGGGGGAUAACUAUUGGAAACGAUAGCUAAUACCGCAUAACAGUAGAUGUUGCAUGAUAUCUACUUAAAAGGUGCAAUUGCACCACUACCAGAUGGACCUGCGUUGUAUUAGCUAGUUGGUGAGGUAACGGCUCACCAAGGCGACGAUACAUAGCCGACCUGAGGGGGUGAUCGGCCACACUGGGACUGAGACACGGCCCAGACUCCUACGGGAGGCAGCAGUAGGGAAUCUUCGGCAAUGGACGGAAGUCUGACCGAGCAACGCCGCGUGAGUGAAGAAGGUUUUCGGAUCGUAAAGCUCUGUUGUAAGAGAAGAACGAGUGUGAGAGUGGAAAGUUCACACUGUGACGGUAUCUUACCAGAAAGGGACGGCUAACCACGUG